UUACCCAUGGAGCUGAAGUCAGUCGAAGAUACCAGCUGGCUGCAACUGUUUAUUAAAAACACAGCACUGUGCAAACACGAAAGUGGACGUAUACGGUGUGACGCCUGCCCGGUGCCGGAAGGUUAAUUGAUGGGGUCAGCGCAAGCGAAGCUCCUGAUCGAAGCCCCGGUAAACGGCGGCCGUAACUAUAACGGUCCUAAGGUAGCGAAAUUCCUUGUCGGGUAAGUUCCGACCUGCACGAAUGGCGUAAUGAUGGCCAGGCUGUCUCCACCCGGGACUCAGUGAAAUUGAACUCGCUGUGAAGAUGCAGUGUACCCGCGGCAAGACGGAAAGACCCCGUGAACCUUUACUAUAGCUUGACACUGAACACUGGUCCUUGAUGUGCAGGAUAGGUGGGAGGCUUUGAAGUGUGGACGCCAGUCUGCAUGGAGCCAUCCUUGAAAUACCACCCUUUAAUGGCUGGUGUUCUAACGUGGGCCCGUGAACCGGGUUGCGGACAGUGUCUGGUGGGUAGUUUGACUGGGGCGGUCUCCUCCUAAAGAGUAACGGAGGAGCACGAAGGUUGGCUAAUCCUGGUCGGACAUCAGGAGGUUAGUGCAAUGGCAUAAGCCAGCUUGACUGCGAGCGUGACGGCGCGAGCAGGUGCGAAAGCAGGUCAUAGUGAUCCGGUGGUUCUGAAUGGAAGGGCCAUCGCUCAACGGAUAAAAGGUACUCCGGGGAUAACAGGCUGAUACCGCCCAAGAGUUCAUAUCGACGGCGGUGUUUGGCACCUCGAUGUCGGCUCAUCACAUCCUGGGGCUGAAGUAGGUCCCAAGGGUAUGGCUGUUCGCCAUUUAAAGUGGUACGCGAGCUGGGUUUAGAACGUCGUGAGACAGUUCGGUCCCUAUCUGCCGUGGGCGCUGGAAGAUUGAGGGGGGCUGCUCCUAGUACGAGAGGACCGGAGUGGACGCAUCACUGGUGUUCGGGUUGUCAUGCCAAUGGCACUGCCCGGUAGCUACAUGCGGAAGAGAUAAGUGCUGAAAGCAUCUAAGCACGAAACUUGCCCCGAGAUGAAUCUUCCCUGAGCCUUUAAGGCUCCUGAAGGAACGUUGAAGACGACGACGUUGAUAGGCCGGGUGUGUAAGCGCAGCGAUGCGUUGAGCUAACCGGUACUAAUGAACCGUGAGGCUUAACCUUACAACGCCGAAG
rnacentral:rRNA from 5 species